rnacentral:rRNA from 1 species
UACAGAGGGGGCAAGCGUUGUUCGGAAUUACUGGGCGUAAAGGGCGCGUAGGCGGCCUUCUAAGUCGAACGUGAAAUCCCCGGGCUCAACCCGGGAACUGCGUCCGAUACUGGGAGGCUUGAAUCCGGGAGAGGGAUGUGGAAUUCCAGGUGUAGCGGUGAAAUGCGUAGAUAUCUGGAGGAACACCGGUGGCGAAGGCGGCAUCCUGGACCGGUAUUGACGCUGAGGCGCGAAAGCUAGGGGAGCAACGGG